rnacentral:rRNA from 1 species
CAGUAGCCGCGGGAAUACGAAGGGGGCUAGCGUUGCUCGGAAUCACUGGGCGUAAAGGGUGCGUAGGCGGACACUUAAGUCAGGGGUGAAAUCCCAGAGCUCAACUCUGGAACUGCCUUUGAUACUGGGUGUCUUGAGUGUGAUAGAGGUAUGUGGAACUCCGAGUGUAGAGGUGAAAUUCGUAGAUAUUCGGAAGAACACCAGUGGCGAAGGCGACAUACUGGAUCAUUACUGACGCUGAGGCUCGAAAGCGUGGGGAGCAAACAGGAUUAGAUACCCCUGUAGUCCCUGUCUCUUAUAC